UACGUAGGGCGCAAGCGUUAUCCGGAUUUACUGGGUUUAAAGGGUGCGUAGGCGGGCCUUUAAGUCAGUGGUGAAAUCUCCCCGCUCAACGGGGAAACUGCCAUUGAUACUAUUGGUCUUGAAUUAGUUGAGGUGGGCGGAAUGUGUCGUGUAGCGGUGAAAUGCUUAGAUAUGACACAGAACACCGAUUGCGAAGGCAGCUCGCUAAACUAAUAUUGACGCUGAGGCACGAAAGCGUGGGGAGCAAACAGG
rnacentral:rRNA from 1 species